GACGGAGGGUGCUAGCGUUGUUCGGAAUUACUGGGCGUAAAGCGUGCGCAGGCGGUGAUGUAAGACAGGUGUGAAAUCCCCGGGCUUAACCUGGGAACUGCAUUUGUGACUGCAUCGCUGGAGUGCGGCAGAGGGGGAUGGAAUUCCGCGUGUAGCAGUGAAAUGCGUAGAUAUGCGGAGGAACACCGAUGGCGAAGGCAAUCCCCUGGGCCUGCACUGACGCUCAUGCACGAAAGCGUGGGGAGCAAACAGG
rnacentral:rRNA from 1 species